rnacentral:ribozyme from 1 species
UAAAUGAAAACAACACAAAAGAUCCCGGGAGGAUAGGAGGGGCGGAAUUGAAAAAAAAAAAUCGAAAAAUACCAAGAACCAUCUCGAGACCUAUAUACCUGCGGUUUGGGUCUUACGCUUCCCGUUCACCCGUUUUUUUGUUUUUUUUUCCCUUUGUUCGUUUGUUUUGUAAACCAAACGAGCAAGAGAGCAAGUAUGGCAGUGAGAGCCUAUUCAAAAAAUGAAAGAAAGAAAGAAAGAAUCGUCUUGUUCCGUCAUUCAGCCGUAUCCGUAUUUUGUUCCAUUCUUGUAUUUAUUUAUUUUUUUUACCCAAGUGUUGUACAAAAACAAAAACGGGCGAAACAGUGAUACCGU